GUCGCCUCCUAAAAGGUAACGGAGGCGCUCAAAGGUUCCCUCAGAAUGGUUGGAAAUCAUUCAUAGAGUGUAAAGGCAUAAGGGAGCUUGACUGCGAGACCUACAAGUCGAGCAGGGUCGAAAGACGGACUUAGUGAUCCGGUGGUUCCGCAUGGAAGGGCCAUCGCUCAACGGAUAAAAGCUACCCCGGGGAUAACAGGCUUAUCUCCCCCAAGAGUUCACAUCGACGGGGAGGUUUGGCACCUCGAUGUCGGCUCAUCGCAUCCUGGGGCUGUAGUCGGUCCCAAGGGUUGGGCUGUUCGCCCAUUAAAGCGGUACGCGAGCUGGGUUCAGAACGUCGUGAGACAGUUCGGUCCCUAUCCGUCGUGGGCGUAGGAAAUUUGAGAGGAGCUGUCCUUAGUACGAGAGGACCGGGAUGGACAUACCUCUGGUGUACCAGUUGUCGUGCCAACGGCAUAGCUGGGUAGCUAUGUGUGGACGGGAUAAGUGCUGAAAGCAUCUAAGCAUGAAGCCCCCCUCAAGAUGAGAUUUCCCAACUUCGGUUAUAAGAUCCCUCAAAGAUGAUGAGGUUAAUAGGUUCGAGGU
rnacentral:rRNA from 1 species